GUAUCAGAGGGUAAAUGUAGCAUUAGAGGAUAAAUGUAGUGUUAGAGGGUAAAUGUAGCAUUAGAGGGUAAAUUUAGCACUAGAGGGUAAAUGUAGUAUUAGAGGGGAAAUGUAGCACUAGAUGGUAAAUGUAGUACCGGAGGGUAAAUGUAGUAUCAGAGGGUAAAUGUAGUAUCAGAGGGUAAAUGUAGCAUUAGAGGGUAAAUGUAGUACCAGGAGGUAAAUGUAGUAUUAGAGGGGAAAUGUAGCAGUAGAUGGUAAAUGUAGUACCGGAGGGUAAAUGUAGUAUCAGAGGUUAAAUGUAGUACUAGAGGGUAAAUGUAGUACCAGAGGGUAAAUGUAGUAUCAGAGAGUAAAUGUAGUAUUAUAGGGUAAAUGUAGUAUUAGAGGGUAAAUGUAGCAUUAGAGGGUAAAUUUAGCACUAGAGGGUAUAUGUAGCACUAGAGGGUAAAUGUAGUAUUAGAUGGUAAAUGUAGCACCGGAGGGUAAAUGUAGU
ensembl:lncRNA